rnacentral:piRNA from 1 species
UCCCUGUAUACCUUAUGCUUGGAAAG